rnacentral:rRNA from 1 species
GACGAACGCUGGCGGCGUGCUUAACACAUGCAAGUCGAACGGAAAGGCCCUGCUUUUGUGGGGUGCUCGAGUGGCGAACGGGUGAGUAACACGUGAGUAACCUGCCCUUGACUUUGGGAUAACUUCAGGAAACUGGGGCUAAUACCGGAUAGGAGCUCCUGCUGCAUGGUGGGGGUUGGAAAGUUUCGGCGGUUGGGGAUGGACUCGCGGCUUAUCAGCUUGUUGGUGGGGUAGUGGCUUACCAAGGCUUUGACGGGUAGCCGGACUGAGAGGGUGAACGGCCACAUGGGGACUGAGAAACGGCCCAGACUCCUACGGGAGGCAGCAGUGGGGAAUAUUGCACAAUGGGCGGAAGCCUGAUGCAGCAACGCCGCGUGCGGGAUGACGGCCUUCGGGUUGUAAACCGCUUUAGCCUGUGACGAAGCGUGAGUGACGGUAAUGGGUAAAGAAGCACCGGCUAACUACGUG